rnacentral:rRNA from 1 species
AAAUGAAUUGACGGGGGCCCGCACAAGCGGUGGAUUAUGUGGAUUAAUUCGAUGCAACGCGAAAAACCUUACCUGGCCUUGACAUGUAACGAACUUUCCAGAGAUGGAUUGGUGCUCGAAAGAGAACGUUAACACAGGUGCUGCAUGGCUGUCGUCAGCUCGUGUCGUGAGAUGUUGGGUUAAGUCCCGCAACGAGCGCAACCCUUGCCAUUAAUUGCCAUCAUUUAGUUGGGCACUUUAAUGGGACUGCCGGUGACAAACCGGAGGAAGGUGGGGAUGACGUCAAGUCCUCAUGGCCCUUAUGGCCAGGGCUUCACACGUAAUACAAUGGUCGGUACAGAGGGUUGCCAACCCGCAAGGGGGAGCCAAUCCCAGAAAGCCGAUCGUAGUCCGGAUUGAGGUCUGCAACUCGACCUCAUGAAGUCGGAAUCGCUAGUAAUCGCGGAUCAGCAUGUCGCGGUGAAUACGUUCCCGGGCCUUGUACACACCGCCCGUCACACCAUGGGAGUGGGUUUUACCAGAAGUAGGUAGUCUAACCUUCGGGGGGACGCUUACCACGGUAGUAUUCAUGACUGGGGUGAAGUCGUAACAAGGUAACCGUA